GCCACCUCCAUGGCAACAGAUGCUGUCAAAAGCCUCAGGUUCGCUUGGAGGAUGAGGAGUGAAUUGCCAGGAACCAGCAAGCGAGGCUGAAGAACAGAAAUCUGAAGACGGCAGGCAGCUUCAAUACGUGGGAAAAACAGUGAAAAAGCCUAGCGCCACCAGGAUGGAGUAGGCCGUUAACGUAGAUUUGAAAGGGUAGUUCCCAGGUAAUGGAGAGAAGGGGCGAUGGAGAGAGAAGGCUCAUCUUACUCUGAGGCAUCGAGGGACCUGAACCACCUCUUGCGUGGACGAAUGCUCUCCCUGUAGGAGAAAAAGGCAAUUAACGUGUGUGGCGAAGAGCGAGAAGAAACAGCAACCGUGACAGGAAUCGUUAGCUCUGGCUUCUUUUGUGUGGGUACCGCAAGGUCAGAGCUUGAACAAGGGGAAAACCGGCAUAUGUCUUCGCUAACAAGCAUGACAACCAAGUAGCUGAGUCGAUUCAUGUUGCGAUCCAGAGAAACCCUAGUCUUUGACAGGAUCUGGGAAGUGAGGAUUCUGUUUUCCACGACUGCAAACUACCCUUCUUGUUCCCUACCUCUUCUCGAUGUGUGUGCUGCACUGACGUUGAUCUUGGACUGGCGUCCUCUUUGCAUACGUACGCGUUCUCUUCUGCGUCACAUCUCUCAAAAGGAGGCUCUGCACCAUCUCUGUUUCGAACGGAGGCUGUUAGGGAAAAGAGGAAGUCUUUUGGGUCAUCGAAACGAGAGUGGAGUGGGGAAAGCUGAUAUCCGUGUUCUGCUGAAAGACCCACCAACCCUGUCUUCCUCGUUAAAAAUCCAAAAGAGUAACGAGCUGAAGUGUCUUCAGCCCGUGUGCCUGCCUUCGUCCCCGGCACUGUGCCACCACCCUGGCUGAGGGAGGAUCAGCCCUCGCAUCCGGAGCCCUGGAGGAGAACCUGCCACAACACUGCUUCCUUUUCUGCCGUGCAGUGUGGAUCAAACACGACCAAACCGCGUUGGGUUACGGUCCAGAAGCGCUUCAGAGAAGAGCUAGAGAACAGGAAAAGAAGUGUAGGUGCCGUGCGGUGGCGUAGCCACAGCCCCGGGCGCCCGUCUCGGCGAGGAAGCGGCUGGAGAUGGCUUGGUCCGGUCAGGAGCUCCAGCUCAAAGGGACCGACUGGCCGAAGCGGGGCGGGCUGCGGAGGUGCCGUCUCUGCCAAGGUUUCCGAUGUUCCUGCUAUACUCCGAUGAAACAUUAUACAGAAAGAUAUAGGCAAAGCAUUAUGCUCACAGCCUUUGCCAACAAGUUAUGUUUUAAUGUAAUUUAACUGUAAUCUCAGAGUGUUUUUGUUAGCUAUAAUUAGUAAAAUAUGUCUGUUUUCUGUGUUCCUUGAAGACGUCUGAACUCCUGCCAGUUCCCUAUAGUUUUCCUGACAUGCAGCGUAACAAGCAGACCACCAAAAUGUAUUUACCAAUAACUGUUUAUUUACAUUCCGUGAAAUCUAAUAACAUUUGCUGCCUUCAUUCGGGAUAAAUGCUGGCCAAUGUGUAAAGCAUAAAAAAAAUAAACAUUGACUUAAUUUCUA
rnacentral:lncRNA from 1 species